rnacentral:rRNA from 1 species
AGGGCAGAUGGUGGAUGCCUUGGUACCAGGGGCCGAUGAAGGACGUGGGAGGCUGCGAUAGGCCUGGGGGAGCUGCCAACCGAGCUGUGAUCCCAGGGUGUCCGAAUGGGGUAACCCGGCACGAGUCAUGUCGUGUCACCCGCACCUGAAUGCAUAGGGUGUUGGGAGGGAACGCCGGGAAGUGAAACAUCUCAGUACCGGCUGGAAGAGAAAACAAUAGUGAUUCCGUGAGUAGUGGCGAGCGAAAGCGGAUUGAUGCCUAAACUGUGUGGGCGUGAUACCUGUCAGGGGUUUCCCGCAUGGGGUCGUGAGGCUGUCCUUGGUCAAACUGACAUUUGGCCCGGAAGUGACAAAGUUUGGGGUUAGGCGAACCGGAGUGAGUGCCGGACCGUAGAGGGUGAGAGUCCUGUAGCUGAAAGUCCCAGACCUUCCGUGGAUGGUUCUCGAGUAGCCACGAACUCCUGUAAUUUGUGGUGAAUUUGCCAGGACCACCUGGUAAGGCUGAAUACUUCCUGGUGACCGAUAGCGGAUGAGUACCGUGAGGGAAUGGUGAAAAGUACCCCGGGAGGGGAGUGAAAUAGUACCUGAAACCGUCUGCCUGCAAUCCGUCAGAGCCUAGAACACUCCUUUUGGGGUUAUGGUGAUGGCGUGCCUUUUGAAGAAUGAGCCUGCGAGUUAGUGGUGUGUGGCGAGGUUAACCCGGGUGGGGUAGCCGUAGCGAAAGCGAGUCUGAAUAGGGCGUUUGAGUCGCAUGCUCUAGACCCGAAGCGGGGUGAUCUAGCCAUGGGCAGGCUGAAGCGGCUGUAAGAGGUCGUGGAGGGCCGAACCCACCAACGUUGAAAAGUUGGGGGAUGAUCUGUGGUUAGGGGUGAAAGGCCAAUCAAACUCCGUGAUAGCUGGUUCUCCCCGAAAUGCAUUUAGGUGCAGCGUUGCGUGUUUCUUGCCGGAGGUAGAGCUACUGGAUGGCCUAGGGGCCCUACCAGGUUACCGAAGUCAGCUAAACUCCGAAUGCCGGUAAGUGAGAGCGUGGCAGUGAGACUGCGGGGGAUAAGCUUCGUAGUCGAGAGGGAAACAGCCCAGAUCGCCGGCUAAGGCCCCUAAGCGUGUGCUAAGUGGGAAAGGAUGUGGGAUCGCAUAGACAACCAGGAGGUUGGCUUAGAAGCAGCCAUCCUUGAAAGAGUGCGUAAUAGCUCACUGGUCAAGUGGUUCCGCGCCGACAAUGUAGCGGGGCUCAAGCACACCGCCGAAGCCGCGGCAUUCCAGCGUGUAUCUGGCGGUAUGGGUUUCCAUGUCGUCUAGGUGUUGGGAUGGGUAGGGGAGCGUCCUGUCACCGGUGAAGCAGCAGCGUGAGCUAGCUGUGGAGGUGGUGGGAGUGAGAAUGCAGGCAUGAGUAGCGCAUGCAGGGUGAGAAACCCUGCCGCCGGAUGACCAAGGGUUCCAGAGUCAAGCUUAUCUGCUCUGGGUGAGUCGGGGCCUAAGGCGAGGCCGAGAGGCGUAGUCGAUGGAUAACGGGUUGAUAUUCCCGUACCCGCAAAGCAACGCCCACGCCGAACACCUUUCUACUAACCGCCUCCGGCGGGGGAUUCCUUUCGGGGAUGAUCUUGUUGGGGCCGGGACCUGAGGGGUUUGUAGGUGAGUGAUGGGGUGACGCAGGAAGGUAGUCGGUCCCAGGCGGUGGUUGUCCUGGGGUAAGCGUGUAGCCCGCCGUGCAGGUAAAUCCGUGCGGCUGCCCUUCGAGGGCGGGGGUGAGGCGUGAUGCCGAGCCGUAUCAGGUGAAGCCGAUGAUCCUAUGCUGCCGAGAAAAGCCUCUAGCGAUGUUGCGCGCGGCCCGUACCCGAAACCGACACAGGUGGUCAGGUAGAGAAUACCAAGGCGAUCGGGUGAACUGUGGUUAAGGAACUCGGCAAAUUGCCCCCGUAACUUAGGGAGAAGGGGGGCCACUGCUGGUGAACGCCCUUUGCGGUGGGAGCUGGUGGUGGUCGCAGAGAGCGGGGGGAAGCGACUGUUUACUAAAAACACAGGUCCAUGCCAAGUCGUAAGACGCUGUAUAUGGACUGACGCCUGCCCGGUGCUGGAACGUUAAAAGGACCCGUUAGCUGCCCUUGUGGUGGCGAGGCGGAGAAUUGAAGCGCCAGUAAACGGCGGUGGUAACUAUAACCAUCCUAAGGUAGCGAAAUUCCUUGUCGGGUAAGUUCCGACCUGCACGAAUGGCGUAACGACUUCCCCACUGUCUCAACCACAGGCCCGGCGAAAUUGCAGUACGAGUAAAGAUGCUCGUUACGCGCGGCAGGACGGAAAGACCCCGGGACCUUCACUAUAGCUUGACAUUGGUGCUUGAAUCCGAUUGUGUAGGAUAGGUGGGAGCCUGUGAAGUGGCCACGCCAGUGGUUGUGGAGGCAGCGUUGAAAUACCACUCUGUCGAAUUCGGGUAUCUAACCAUGGCCCCUGAUCGGGGUUUGGGACAGUGUCUGGUGGGUAGUUUAACUGGGGCGGUUGCCUCCUAAAAGGUAACGGAGGCGCCCAAAGGUUCCCUCAGCCUGGUUGGCAAUCAGGUGUUGAGUGUAAGUGCACAAGGGGGCUUGACUGUGAGACUGACAGGUCGAGCAGGGACGAAAGUCGGGACUAGUGACCCGGCACCGGCGUGUGGAAGCGGUGUCGCUCAACGGAUAAAAGGUACCCCGGGGAUAACAGGCUGAUCUUCCCCAAGAGUCCAUAUCGACGGGAUGGUUUGGCACCUCGAUGUCGGCUCGUCGCAUCCUGGGGCUGGAGUAGGUCCCAAGGGUUGGGCUGUUCGCCCAUUAAAGCGGUACGCGAGCUGGGUUUAGAACGUCGUGAGACAGUUCGGUCCCUAUCCGCCGCGCGCGUAGGAGUCUUGAGAAGGGCUGUCCCUAGUACGAGAGGACCGGGACGGACGAACCUCUAGUGUGCCAGUUGUUCCGCCAGGGGCAUGGCUGGUUAGCCACGUUCGGAAGGGAUAACCGCUGAAAGCAUCUAAGCGGGAAGCCUGCUUCAAGACCAGGACUCCCACCCAUGCAGUGAUGUGUGGGGUAAGGCCCCCGCCGAGAACAGCGGGUUGACAGGCCAGAAAUGUAAGCCCUGUAAGGGGUUCAGUUGACUGGUGCUGAUAGGCCGAGGACUUCAACA